rnacentral:snRNA from 1 species
UGUCAACCGCUAAUAACCGCU